rnacentral:rRNA from 1 species
GCUUGCUCUGUGGAUCAGUGGCGAACGGGUGAGUAACACGUGAGCAACCUGCCCCUGACUCUGGGAUAAGCGCUGGAAACGGCGUCUAAUACCGGAUAUGAGCUGCGAUCGCAUGGUCAGCAGUUGGAAAGAUUUUUCGGUCUGGGAUGGGCUCACGGCCUAUCAGCUUGUUGGUGAGGUAAUGGCUCACCAAGGCGUCGACGGGUAGCCGGCCUGAGAGGGUGACCGGCCACACUGGGACUGAGACACGGCCCAGACUCCUACGGGAGGCAGCAGUGGGGAAUAUUGCACAAUGGGCGAAAGCCUGAUGCAGCAACGCCGCGUGAGGGAUGACGGCCUUCGGGUUGUAAACCUCUUUUAGCAGGGAAGAAGCGAAAGUGACGGUACCUGCAGAAAAAGCGCCGGCUAACUACGUGCCAGCAGCCGCGGUAAUACGUAGGGCGCAAGCGUUAUCCGGAAUUAUUGGGCGUAAAGAGCUCGUAGGCGGUUUGUCGCGUCUGCUGUGAAAUCCCGAGGCUCAACCUCGGGUCUGCAGUGGGUACGGGCAGACUAGAGUGCGGUAGGGGAGAUUGGAAUUCCUGGUGUAGCGGUGGAAUGCGCAGAUAUCAGGAGGAACACCGAUGGCGAAGGCAGAUCUCUGGGCCGUUACUGACGCUGAGGAGCGAAAGGGUGGGGAGCAAACAGGCUUAG